AAGAUACUAGUAAAAUAUAUUACACUGCCUUGUCGGGACAGAAUUGUAAGUUAAACCCUUACGUAUCUUA
rnacentral:tRNA from 1 species